GCUGUGGUAGUUCAGUGGCAGAGUUCUCGCCUUCCAUGCAGGAGACCCAGGUUCAACUCCCGGCCAGUGCA
rnacentral:tRNA from 1 species